ACAAUUAAAAAAAAAAAACUAUUCUUAAACAAAGAUGAAAAAAUCCGUCCCCCUUCCCGACACAUGAACCCUAAAUCCCUAUAUUCCUCUAUUCUCGAAGCUCUUACGUUUUGACUCAAUCCGCCGAGAAUCGAUCUUGUUCUUAUACUUCUCCGCCGAGAAUUUGAAUCCCAGAAAUCUGACGAACCCCUAAUCCCCUUUCUGAAAUUCUGGGGAACACUAAAUCACAAGAUGUUGUCCCAGGUGGAAGUCCAGAAUGGCUAAGAACCGUGAUACUUGCUGUUGUUAUUGCUACUUUCAUAAGUCUGACUAUCGUAUACCUCCGAAGACUGGUCUCUCUUGGAAAGUCCCACGGAAUUGCAGUCUUUAUUCACUUCGGAGAUAUGAUAAAUCUAUGUAUGAAGAAAAUAGCGAGCCACCUGGAGAAUCCCAAGAGUGAAGUGUGUAUGUGUUUACAAAAGUAUAUAGAGAUUUGUUUUUGUUACAUGACCAAGAAGAAGAAAGCUGCAAGUCAAAUUUUGUAAAAAAUCAUCCUGAUCCAUUGUUCUAAAAAAAGAAACACAACACAAAUGUCUUUUUUUGUUGCGCCAAAAGAGCCCAUUUUUCUU